GGGGAUGACAGAGAAUCAGAAAGGCUUUUUUAUCAGCCCUCUGUGCUUUGCAUCCAUCAGAGCCGGUUGCUGUUUUGCCACUGAAAAUAUUCCCAGCAGAAAAUGCAGCUUUGUGAAGGCCCAAACUUGUUCAAGGAGAAGAGACUGUCUGGAAGAAAAUGAUCACAUUUUCAUCACUUCUUUUUUUUUUGUUCUGAAUUGACAUCCUGGCUCUACAUGCUCUGAAUUUUGCAUUCAGAGAAUUGAGUUCUAUUAAAAAGUGUGGAGAAAAGGUUC